rnacentral:rRNA from 1 species
AUUGAACGCUGGCGGCAUGCUUUACGACAUGCAAGUCGAGCGGCAGCGCGGGGGCAACCCUGGGCGGCGAGCGGCGAAACGGGUGAGUAAUGCAUCGGAACGUACCCUGGAGUGGGGGAUAACGCCGCGGAAAAGCGGCGCUAAUACCGCAUAUGCUCUGAGGAGGAAAGUGGGGGACCGCAAGGCCUCACGCUCUGGGAGCGGCCGAUGUCCGAUUAGCUAGUUGGUGGGGUAAAGGCUUACCAAGGCGACGAUCGGUAGCUGGUCUGAGAGGAUGAUCAGCCACACUGGGACUGAGACACGGCCCAGACUCCUACGGGAGGCAGCAGUGGGGAAUUUUGGACAAUGGGGGGCAACCCUGAUCCAGCCAUGCCGCGUGAGUGAAGAAGGCCCUUCGGGUUGUAAAGGCUCUUUUGGUCGGGUAGAAAGGCGGCCUUGCCUAAUACGCGAGGUGGUUGACGGUACCGG